ACUGAGGGACUUAUAUUUGUUCCACACAGGCCACAAAGAGAGAGAAAAAGAGAAAGAGACAGAGAUAGAAAGAUGGCUGCCAGAUCUGUCUGUGUGCUGGUCAUCUCUGCAGUGGUGAUCAGUGCGACUGGAAUGCUGGCGUCUUGGAUAAUGAGGUUUCAGCAAUCUGAGAUUAGAAUGAAGACUUCCGUAAAUGCAUUCACAGUCAACUCAGAUGCAGCUCGACCAGAGAUGACAACAUCAGCGAGUGCAUCAGAUGUGACCGAAGGUGUGUCAAACACGCCG